GAUUGGGUAAAAUGGUGGGUCAAACGUCCAUUUUACCGCCGUAUUGUUGGGUCUUUAGUCGAUUGUCGGGUCCCAAAGUCGAUUAUCGGGCACUUGGACCCGACAGUUGAAGACCCACUUAAUAAAAGGCUGCUUAACAUCCUCAUGACUAUUUUUUAAUUCAAAUUUGCAUAUGUAAUUUUACUCGAAUUGUCGGGCCUAUAUCUCCCAUUCGCAAACAUUAGAUCAAACUCCUCACGGCAGUUACUUCCCUUGGGCAUCUUCUAGAAUAAGGGAGGCCACUGAGCCCUUUUCGGAAAGUCGCAUAUCUCCCCUGAGUAUUCUCCGGAAUUGGAGGUUCUCAAUCGCUGGCAUUCGGUACCCCUCGCAGAUUAUCAUAAUACUUAUCCGAUGUUUGACGGAAAGGGCCGAGAAUGUGCGAUUGAAUCGCUGGGUAGUAUUGAUUUCCAGUAACAAUGGCGUCGAAUGAGAAAGAAAACGAUCGUUAUCUGUCUGACAUCGAAAUUGACAAAUUAAGUGUUGCACAAUUGAAGGAUUAUUUACGAUUUCAUAAUCAUUAUGUGUCAGGGAAUAAGAAUGAACUUGUCUUGAGGACAAAAGGCGUACAAAAGCUAGGAUUAAAUGAUCGACAGCUGCACAGGAAUGCGGAAGUAAAUUAUGAAAAAAGGAAAACAGAAAAACUUUUUACGCCACUCGGUGAAAAGCUGCCACAUCCAGAUGUAUUAAAAACGUUGAGUAGUGACUUAAUGGACUUUCCUACAUUAAUAGAUAGUGACAUCUACAAUUAUUUUGUGCUGAAAAUGAACACACAAAAACAAUUGAGAUCAAAAAAUUGUAUUAUGUUUACAGACAUAAACACAGUAUUUUGUACCAUGACAUAAGUGACAAAUGGGAACAUUGUUUUGUUAAAUGCAAAGUAUUACCAUCUCUACCGAGUGCAAAUGUGAAAGAAAACCCAGAUCACAGUGUGUGGCUCUGUCUGUCAAAGGUCACUGGACAGGUUCAUUCAGCGGAAUGUAAUUGCACAGCCGGGAGCGGAGAAGCAUGUAUCCAUAUUGGUGCAUUUAUGUAUGCCCUUUCUGAUCUCACUGCUAAAAAGAAGGACGGCACUCUAAGAUCAACCUCAAAAAAAUGCGUGUGGGACAGAUUUAAUAAUCCCCGGAAAAGAAAGCGAACGCCUAAAAAGUCUAGCGAAUUUACAUUUCGGAAACAUACCUUUGAGUCAAAAUUAGAGCCAGUCGAAAAUAACACCAGAAAAGAACUUCUUGCGAUUUCUGUAAAUGAGAACAGUUUCCGUUCAAAACUCGAAAAUAUGCAACCCAACAGCUGGAUGGCUUUUGAACUUUGUAGAAGAGAAGGAAGAGGUGAAAUUACCAAAGUUUAUAGAAAUUGGAUAUAACUUUAGUGAUAGCGUAGAUCUGAAUAGUGAAACUGUGAAGGAUAAAAUGUCGAAAAUGAUGGAUAUGCUACAAAUGGAUGAACUUGAAUGCCAAAGUAUUGAAAAAUUAACCAGAGGUCAGGGAAAGAACGUACUUUGGGAAGAUGAAAGAAAAUUACGUGUAACUGCAUCCAAUUUUGGUGAAGUAAUUUUACUGAAACAAGAGACUGAAAGAUUUAAAAGAAAUUGAUUGCAAUCUUUAAAGAAUAGUAACAAAUAUGAAUUUAAGAUCACAAUUGUGAAUUUCUCGCAAGCUUACCCUUGCUCCUAGAAUAUGUUUUUAUAAUUUUGAUGUCUCACUUUUCUCUAGAGAUUAACCCUUUACCACUUAGAUAUGUAUUUUCAAGCUUUUGUAGUUCCUUAAAAAGUUAAAUGUAAUAAAGUACCUUUAUUACUAAAUUUAAGUUUUAAAGGCUUCAUUUCCAACCCUUAAAUACUGAUGAGCAGCAAACAGUAUAAAACCUGAACAGACUGCGAGUUACUAGCAUGCUGUUCUGGUUUUAUGCUGUUUUCACUGUGCUUCCAAGUGGAAUAGGGUUAAAUAACAAAAGUUAACGCCAGAUCAGAAAAUAAUUUAAGUAACAACAGUACAGGACAUCAUUGAGGUCCCUCCUUUUUUAUGUUUCAAUAGUCAUUUAGCUAUACAAAGCAUAUAAAUAUUGUACAUAAAAGUGUAUGAAUGUAUAAAUAUUUAUCAACUGUUCAUAUUAUGAAUUUUACAGUAGUACAUGUAGAAUGCUUUUCAACGAUUUGUGUACGGUUCAUUAAUACCAUCACAACGUGAUUGUCAAUUGUUAUUCCGCUAAAUUGAUUUGCUCUUAAAAUGAUAAAUCAUAAAAAGAACUUUUGCUAUGUUAUUAUCCAUCACUUAUUACCUUACCUGUGUUUGGAGAAAAACCGAAGGGUUUACGAUAAUAAUCUGUUUCAAAAUGUUAAAAUGAUAUGAAAUUAAUGAGUGGCAAGCAUGAACCAAAUUAAGAAAAUCAACACAGAGGUAUCAACAGCUGCAUCUUAUUAAAAAUCUGUGCACAAUGCUUUUUGUCCAAGUAUAGAUCAUUUCAGAACCCCAUUGAGUUAAUAGACACCUUGGAAGCUUUGCUGGUAUGACUUCUGCUUUACAUCUGACAAGUACUCUGCAGGUGUUGCUACUUGUAUCAGAAAUCUUGGUUUUAAACAAGAGCUGUCACCAUAGGAUGACUUAUGCCCCCUAUAUACGCUUGAUAGAAGUUAUGAGCAUUUUCCCAAACCUAAAUGCAUAUUUCGAAACCUAAACACGGACCCUAAGUUUAAGGUCAAGGUCACAGGGGUCAAAGUUUGUGUGCAUAUGGAAAGGCCUUGACCAUAUACACAUGCAUGCCAAAUAUGAAAAUGCUAUCUGAAGCGACAUAGAAGUUAUGAGCAUUUUUCGAAACCUAAACGCAAAGUGUGACGGACAGACCGACAGACAGUCCGAUCACUAUAGCGACAUAGAAGUUAUGAGCAUUUUUCGAAACCUAAAUGCAUAUUCGAAACCUAAACGCGGACCCUUAGUUUAAGGUCAAGGUCACAGGGGUCAAAAUUUGUGUGCGUAUGGAAAAGCUUUGUCCAUAUACACAUGCAUGCCAAAUAUGAAAUUGCUAUCCAAAGCGACAUAGCAGUUAUGAGGAUUUUUCGAAACCUAAACGCAAAGUGUGACGGACGGACAGACCGACAGACAGUCUGAUCACUAUAUGCCCUCCUUCGGGGGCAUAAAAAUUCUUGACGGGUUUAUUGCUCCCAAUUAUAAAUUAACUGUUGAUUAAGUCUUCAGUAGCAGUACUAAACCUUAAAGACAAACAUUUACUUAGGUAUACAAAAGAAAUCUGUGUUUUCAACGCUCUGUGUCAAUUAAUGUAUGUAAACUUGAAUCCAGUACAAUAUUUAUCAGAAUUUCAGUCUUAUAAUUUGUUUGGUCUUACAAAACUGCUUUCAAGCAAGAAAACAUGUAUAAAUAUAUUGGCACAAACACACAAACGCAGAAACACAAUUUUCUUUUUUUGCCUGAAAAUGUUUGUAUGGAAUAUGAGACAAGAAAAUAAUAAUCAGUAACAAUUUUAUUUUCACAAAUGAAAGCUGACUGUAAAAUGUGAAAUUAAGUAUUAUUCACAUAAUUACAUAGUAUAUUACUUAUACAUACAUGCAAUGGUCAAACACUUCUAGUUAAAUUGUAUACUGAAUUUCUCACAAAGUUCACUUGUUCAGCUUCUUAUCAAACUUAAUUUGUACUAGUUUUAAGGAGCCACUUUUCCAGUUUAUAUUAGCAUGACUAUUUUCAGUUUAUAAACACACUUUAUUUUCCGGGGACAGGUUUUUCGUGCUAACCCUGCUUUCAUUCCAACACUGACCUCAUCAAAUAAACACUCAAAAGUUCCAGCAGUUGGGAUACCAGUGUAGAACAACACCUUAUCGUCAUCAUCCCUUAUAUCCUCAAAGGUGAAGCUAGGCCGAUCCACUUGUAUCCCAACUGUCGACGUUUCAGUAGAAGUCUGGGUUGAUAUACUUCUGGGAACUCUCGUAUCGUCGGUUUGAGUAACCACAGAAAUCAGCUCCGGUUGCACUUGUUCACACUGAUGACGGAUUAUGGCGGGUACUGGUGUAAACCUUCCAUAGUCAUGGAGCUGAAAUAAAUAAAUACAUUUUUACAAGCAAAGUAAAUGCAGUUUGAAGUAAAGAUUAUAGGUCUUUCUGUAUUUUACUAAGGCAUCACCAAACUGAUAACUUCUUCAGUUUUUUUCUUUAAAAAUGGGAAGAGCAUGAAAAACAACUAUCUAUUUAUACUGCCAAGUGCCCUUUCGAGCAUGGUAGGCAGACAUGGACAUUAUCGAGUCGGUUUCCUGGGAAGAACCAGUACUUGGUGUCCAUGGAGGAGAUAAUUAGAAUGCUUCCCAAGUAAGGAGUGAACCCACUAACACCCGAUCGCUAGGCGGAUAUCUCAUCCACUACAACACCGCGACCUUGAACUACAAAUAUUUUUUUAUGUCCCCCACUAUAGAAGUGGGGGACAUAUUGUUUUUGCCCUGUCUGUUGGUUGGUCUGUUGGUUGGUUGGUUUGCGCCAACUUAAACAUUUUGCAAUAACUUUUGCUAUAUUGAAUAUAGCAACUUGAUAUUUGGCAUGCAUGAGUAUCUCAUGGAGCUGCACAUUUUGAGUGGUGAAAGGUCAGAGGUCAAAUAUAUGUGGCCUAAAUUGCUCAUUUUAUGAAUACUUUUGCAAUAUUGAAGAUAGCAACUCGAUAUUUGGCAUGCAUGUGUAUCUCAUGGAGCUGCACAUUUUGAGUGGUGAAAGGUCAAAGUCAAGGUCAUCCUUCAAGGUCAGAGGUAAAACAUAUUUGUCCCAAAUCGCUUAUUUUAUUAAUACUUUUGAAAUAUUGAAGAUAGUAACUUGAUAUUUGGCAUGCAUGUGUAUCUCAUGGAGCUGCACAAUUUGAGUGGUGAAAGGUCAAGGUCAUCCUUCAAGGUCAAGGUCAUCCUUAAAGGUCAAAUAUAUGGGUCAAAAUUGCUCAUGUAAUGUCACUUCUGCAAUAUUGAAGCUAGCAAUUUUAUAUUUGAAAUGCAUGUGUAUCUCAUGGAGCUGCACAUUUUGAGUGGUGAAGGGUCAAGGUCAUCCUUCAAGGUCAAACAUUAUUUAGGGGGACAUUGUGUUUCACAAACGCAUCUUGUUUCAAAUUAUCUUUAUUCAACAACAUUUUGUAUAACGAUAAAACAACUCACUCUUAGAGAUACGUCUAGUAGUGAUGCACUGCUUUCAACCAACAAACCAUCUGCCUCGUUCUCGAAACUCAAGUCUGGUGAACGGUUAUCUGACAUUUCCUCAGUUUCUGGUGUGGAAUUCGUCUCAUCUGCUUCAGGGCCAUUUUCCAGGGUCUGUAAGGUAAACAAAUAAAAUUAAAUCAGCACAUCAAAGACCUAGAAAUACACAUACUUUUUCAAACUAACAUGAAAGAAUGAUGUUCAGAUACGUAAUAUUUAUGCUUCUGUAUCAUGUUGUAAACACCGUCAGAUUCUAUACCGAUAGAGUAACUGACCCAUGUUCAUUCUUGAAACCUCGUAUAGCCUAGUGGCAACAUAUCCGCUUCAAAAUAUCAGAUACCAUUGGUUCGAUCCUCGGCUGUGAGCUACAUAAAAUAAAUCAUGAACUGUGCCAUGGGUAUGUCUGCCAUUAUCCCAUGCUUGAUUGUACCACAAGGAAUCACUGAUUUGAAUAGUAAGCUCGAUUUAAUAAUCCAUCGGAAUCGUUUUAAGGUGAUAAUCUGAUUACACGCAGUGCGCAAUCUGAUUAUGUGAUGACUUAAAUUAGUAUAAGUAUUAAUAUGAUUUAAUAAGAAUAGUAUAUGUGCCUUUUAUAUACGCGUUCAAUGCCAUAAUACCGGUAAAAUCAUAAGUUGAUUUAGAUAUCAGUACAUUAAAUAAAUGUCUAUAUAUUAUAAUCAUACAAUACGCAAUUUUACAAUGCCGAAGUAAUGUUAUUUACUGAAAUAAGAUCUAUUUUCGCAUGACACUGGCUGUAUAGCAAGUAGUCUUAUAUAAAUAAGAGCAACAUUACUUCAAGCACGUACACUUAACAAAAAGAGUUCUCCGUUUAAAAAUGAUGGUAUUAAGGUGUUACUAAAUAUAAAAUACCCAACAGCGGGCGAGCGUUUAAUGCACUUUGCGCUUGAUGAAUAAUGUUAUACAAUUAUUAUGGGCAAAUUUAUAAUUUCAAAACAUUAUUAGUUGUUGAUGUUAUUCGCGUUCAAUAAAUACAUCAGUUCUUCUUAUCAACCUGAUGCCUGUUGCCUGCUACAGUUUCUUAUCAUAAUUGUAUAAACUACAAUACACCAUCAGCGGCCGAGAGCAGAAUACCGGCCGCUAAAUAAAUUGUGACUUGCAUCAAAUCUCAGGUCAAAUUUCGAUUGUUUUACAAUAAAAUACUAAUAUUUUAUAAUGUCAAGCACGUGCACUUAAUAAAAUACGAUAUUUCUUUAUUUAUUGUAGAAUUUUGCAAAAGUAAAGCGCUUUAUAUAUAGCAAUGUUUUAUUAUUUCUUUCUAGUUACGUAAAUAAACAAAACAUAAUUAUGUAUAUAACAUUUAAUAUUUGUACAUAAUUUAUAAAAAUAAAUACAAUGAAACGUGAUGUUUGUGAAGUGCGCGUGACAUUGAACUUCGAGUUAAGCGAAAGAUGCGAAUUAAAUUACACAUAAUUAAAAACUGAUACUAUUCUGUCAGCAUGAUUUAUACUCCAUCGCGCCAAUAAAUUCAUCAAAUUGUGUAUACAAGCAAAACGAUGGAAAUUAUGACAGAAACCCAGCUUUUCAAAUAAAAUGACCCUUAACAUAACGCUAGCAGACCCGAAUGAAUAUACUUUAUUUGAGUCGUGUUCUGAGAAAACUGUGCAUAAUGCAUGUGCUUAAAGUGUCGUCCCAGAUUAGCCUGUACAAUCCGCACGAAUUAUCAGGGACGGCACUUUCCGCUUUUAUGACAUUUUUCGUUUAAAUGAAGUGUCUUUUUAGCAAAAAUCCAAUUUAGGGUCGACACUUUACGCACAUGCAUUAUGCCCAUUAUUCCCAGAACGCGACUCAUUUAAUCCAAUCAGGUAAAUAACAAAUACAAUAAUAAAACAGGGGAAGUCUACACUGUGUAUUAGCAACCUGCUGUGGUGAAUAUAUCUUAUCAGCUAAAUACACAGGCACCUGGCUACUGUACUGGAAAAAUUGGAUUUACUGCCAAAAUAAUUGAUUUCAUUUAUGGCUAAAUUGUUGUGUACAUGUAAAAUUAAAAACGAGGAUGUAUCCACAUCACCGUUGCACAUUGUUAUUAAUUUCACAGUUAUCUGUUCUUUAUUAGAGAUAGCCUAAUUAAAGACGGCGCUAAUAAAAUGUGAAGGUGGAUAUAAAGAAAUAAGGUCAAUUUCCGCAUGACACUGACAGUAUAGCAAGUAGUCUUAUAUAACAUAUUAAAAAUAUUCCAUGGUUAAAAAUGCACGAUGUUAUAUAGUAAAAGAGUGUGUUUGAGUAAUCAAUAGGAUAUUUUGUAUUGGCUAUAUUGUUUCACUCGUAAAGAAAAUACCAAAAUCGACGUGCGAAACGUAAAAAUUUAUAUCUGAAAUAAUAUUGUUAAGGGCGUUAAGCUAGUUAAAAAUAAUCACGAUUAUUUACUAUGUAUAAAUUAGAUAAAACGUUAAGAUGUAAAUUCUUAUCAUAAAUAUAAAAUGCACAUAAUAUUAUAAUAUUCAUUCAUAUUUCAUUAUUUCAGGUAAAAGUACAAACAUAUUGUUUUAAAUCCUAUGUAAUCAGCACUUUAUGUUGGAUUUCAACAAUGCUUAAUUAAUUAUCGGGUGUAGCAGCGGUGUACAUUACCCAUAUGAUAUAACGCAAAGGUAACGGUCAAGCGACUUCCCACAUUUAUAUGACAUGUUUUAUUAUCGUUAUCAGGUAUCUGUUAUGUGUCAACGGAUUAACGGACAUUGGUUGAUUACCCGAUAAUAUGCAAGUAUCAAAUGAUUUAGAUUCAUUAGUUAUGGGAAAACAUUAUAUGCCUGACCUGAAAAAUGUAAGUCAUAACAAAUAAUUAUAUUAUAAGUUCACUUACCAGAAUCACAACCUAAGUGUUGCCAUCGCUCGCAGGCAUCGCAAGAAACAGCACGUUGCCUCUGCCCAACUGUCUUUCCACAAUGUAUGCACUUUACCACUUCUGCCAUUGCAGAAACACAAAACUCACUUACUCUCACAGUAAAAUUAUUGUAUCCUACAUUAAAGAAGCACAAAUGUUUGAAAUAUUUAUAUAAAUUAGUUCAAUUUAUGAUUCACUGUGUGUGUUUCAGAGUUUAUUUACAGGUCCUACUGGCCUCUUCACGAGGUUAUGGUAGCCCGACCUGCCCCUGUGACCUCUCAGGGGAAAAAGAUUAAUUUAGAGCCAAAUUCCCAGAUCGCAGAACACGCCGCCCCCGCACAAGCGCACCCACGCCGAGCGAGCCCGAGCCCCCCCCCCCCGCGCCCGCAUACGGCCCCGGCCCUAGCACCCAACCGCUGAAGACCCUCGAGACAAGCACCCUCAUCCACCCUCUCGCUGCGCGCGACAACAGAUCAGUCAAGAACCAACCAUGGAGCCCCCCAAAGCCCCACCCGGAGUCACCAUCGUUCUUUCCCACCCACCUGCCAAACAUCCAGACCAUGUAUCAAGCUGGGAUGUAUUUAUUUUGUAGUUAUGUUAUAUUUGCUAUUAUAAUUGGAUAGGUAAAGUAAAUAAAUGAUCUCAAAAUGCCGUUGUUAUAUCAUAUGAUUUAUUUAUGUUUUAUAUUAAUUUGUAAAACUCAUAGUAUUAUAGUUUAUGUCCUGUAUUCUAGCUUUCAUUUACCCAAGUGUGGUUAUUGUGCUCUCCGCCCCAUGAGAGGUGUUAGUGGGGGUUCGAGCAGGAUACAGGAAACGCCCCGAUUCCAGAGGCGCCCCUGGUUCUUUUAAGUGCCCGGUGUAUAGCACCGAUACACUGCACCCCCGUUUAACGUCUCUCGCGGAGGACAUAUUAGUACAUAGUGUUAGUAUCGGUACUUAUAUACAUGUGUAGUUCUGCUGUCUUGUGUCAUAUCUUACGGUAACGUGGGCUCUCUCUGUUGCUAUUUGGUAUAUAGUUUGAAUGUUAUUGCGAAGGGCAGGCUAGUUUUUGAAAGAUCAUGUAUUUGAUGAUAGAAGAAAGGGACUAUGUUUGUUUGAUUGGGCCGAUGACUAGUUCGUUGGGGGUAGAAAAUUUCUUUGUAAAUUCUUUCUUAUUGCUGUGUUAAGUGUCUUGUGAGACUGUGGUGUUGUAAGGGCCAGACUAGUUUUGAUAGGUCAUUUAUUUGAUGAAAGAAGAGAGGGCUGAGUUUGAGAUGAUAGUAAAUUUGGUAUUAGGGAGAGCGCACACGUUAGUGUUUCUGGUUAUAAAAGCAAAGACAGCAUUCCUAUGUGUUUUUGUAAUAUGCCAGGUUAGUAUCGUGGUCUGGUCUGGGGCAUAUGAUUCACUGAAAACUGCCCGCUUUAUAUACAGACAGCCCUCUUAAAUGAUCAGUCGCCAAAUACGCAAUCGCUCCGCCCACUAAGUUGUGUUUUCAUAAAACGCUUAUUCCAUUACUCCGUAAGUCUUUGUUUGUCGGACCAUGUGGCCGCA